AUUGAACGCUGGAGGCAUGCUUUACACAUGCAAGUCGAACGGUAACAGGCCGCAAGGUGCUGACGAGUGGCGAACGGGAGAGUAAUGCAUCGGAACGUGCCCAGUCGUGGUGGAUAACGCAGCGAAAGCUGUGCUAAUACCGCAUACGGUCUAGGGAUGAGAGCGGGGGACCGUAAGGCCUCGCGCGAUUGGAGCGGCCGAUGUCAGAUUAGGUAGUUGGUGGGGUAAAGGCCUACCAAGCCAACGAUCUGUAGCUGGUCUGAGAGGACGACCAGCCACACUGGGACUGAGACACGGCCCAGACUCCUACGGGAGGCAGCAGUGGGGAAUUUUGGACAAUGGGCGCAAGCCUGAUCCAGCAAUGCCGCGUGCAGGAAGAAGGCCUUCGGGUUGUAAACUGCUUUUGUACGGAACGAAACGGUCUGGGUUAAUACCCUGGACUAAUGACGGUACCGUAAGAAUAAGCACCGGCUAACUACGUGCCAGCCGCCGCUGUAAAAC
rnacentral:rRNA from 1 species